rnacentral:lncRNA from 10 species
AUUUUAAUGGGGAAGUAAUCCAAAAUGUGUUGCAUGGGCCAGUGCUGGUCCAUAAAUUGCUUGUUACUGUUCUGUAACACGAGAACAGAAAUUGAGAGCAGACACUGAGAGAUUAACAAUUUGACAGUGCCACGUUAUUUUAUUGUAUUUUACAAAAGUAACGAUCCACAGCAAACUGAAGAUUUAAAAAAAUGAAAACUGAAUCUUUACCACACCACAGAUGUUU